rnacentral:rRNA from 1 species
GACGAACGCUGGCGGCGUGCUUAACACAUGCAAGUCGAACGGAAAGGCCCUGCUUUUGUGGGGUGCUCGAGUGGCGAACGGGUGCGUAACACGUGAGUAACCUGCCCUUGACUUUGGGAUAACUUCAGGAAACUGGGGCUAAUACCGGAUAGGAGCUCCUGCUGCAUGGAGGGGGUUGGAAAGUUUCGGCGGUUGGGGAUGGACUCGCGGCUUAUCAGCUUGUUGGUGGGGUAGUGGCUUACCAAGGCUUUGACGGGUAGCCGGCCUGGGAGGGUGACCGGCCACAUUGGGACUGAGAUACGGCCCAGACUCCUACGGGAGGCAGCAGUGGGGAAUAUUGCACAAUGGGCGGAAGCCUGAUGCAGCAACGCCGCGUGCGGGAUGACGGCCUUCGGGUUGUAAACCGCUUUCGCCUGUGACGAAGCGUGAGUGACGGUAAUGGGUAAAGAAGCACCGGCUAACUACGUG